UGAGGGGCUGAGGAGUGAAAACUGUAAAUUAAAGAAGCUAAGACUGUCUCUUUCUAGUUUCACCUCCUCAUGUUGCUCAGCUCUCUCUUCAGCUCUUUCUUCUCCACACUCACGACUGACUGAACUGAAACUGAGUGUCAAUGACAACAUGGAGGACUCAGGAGUGAAUCAGCUGGGUGAGGGGCUGAGGAGUGAAAACUGCAAAUUAGAGAAACUGAGCCUGUCUUAUUGUCAUCUCACCUCCUCAUGUUGCUCAGCUCUCUCCUCAGCUAUUUUAGCUCCACCCUCACGACUGACUGAACUGGACCUGAGCUACAACAA